rnacentral:rRNA from 1 species
ACUACGAGCUAAGCUUAAAACCCAAAGGACUUGACGGUACCCCACAUCCCCCUAGAGGAGCCUGUCCUGUAAUUGAUAAUCCACACUUAACCUCACCAUUUUUAGCUAAUCAGCCUGUAUACCUCCGUCGUCAGCUUACCACGUGAGCGUAGCUAGUGAGCCCAAUGUAUUUCACCAAAACGUCAGGUCAAGGUGCAGUAGAUAAAAUGGGAAGAGAUGGGCUACACUUUCUACUUUAGAAAAAACGAAAAACUACCUAUGAAAUCUAGUUAGAAGGCGGAUUUAGUAGUAAAAAGGAAUCAGCAUGUCCAUUUUAACCUGGCA